rnacentral:ncRNA from 1 species
UAGUGAUUACAUAUCAUCACGAAAUAUAAAAUGUAAUAUGCUAAGGCAAGCUCAGGUGGGACAGAAACCUCAUGUGGACCAUAAGGGCAAAAGCUUGCUUGAUCUUGAUAUUUAUUAAGAAUACAGACCGUGAAAGCGGGGCUUCACAAUCCUUCCGAUCUUUUGGGUUUUAAGCAGAAG